UACGUAGGAGGCGAGCGUUGUCCGGAAUCACUGGGUGUAAAGCGCGUGUAGGCGGCCUGCCAAGUCUGCUGUGAAAGCGCCGGGCUUAACCGGGCGAGGUCGGUGGAAACUGGCGGGCUGGAGGCCGGUAGAGGGGGGUGGAAUUCCCGGUGUAGUGGUGAAAUGCGUAGAGAUCGGGAGGAACACCAGUGGCGAAGGCGGCCCCCUGGGCCGGGCCUGACGCUGAGACGCGAAAGCGCGGGGAGCGAACGGG
rnacentral:rRNA from 1 species